AAUGUCGGCCGUAACUAUAACGGUCCUAAGGUAGCGAAAUUCCUUGUCGGGUAAGUUCCGACCUGCACGAAUGGUGCAACGAUCUGGGCACUGUCUCAGCCAUGAGCUCGGUGAAAUUGUAGUCGCGGUGAAGAUGCCGCGUACCCGCAACGGGACGAAAAGACCCCAUGAACCUUUACUAUAGCUUCACAUUGGUAUUGGGUAAAUGAUGUGUAGGAUAGCUGGGAGGCUUUGAA
rnacentral:rRNA from 1 species